CAUUGAUCUACCAGAGGGCGUUCACAUAGACACAAACUGGAGUAUGAAUGGGAGGAGAGAGAACUUAAUAGCCUAUUAAAACACAAAGAUAGAGUAAUGGAUCAUCCAAUCGCAAGUGGUUGUAGGGGACUACAAUCAAAACAUGAAGCCCACAAGGACUAAUCCAAUGGCAGCCAAGGUGGAUUAGAGCGGUGUACUAACACUUGACCCUCACAGGACCACCGCAAAAUGGCGCACAA